rnacentral:rRNA from 1 species
AACGCGAAGAACCUUACCUGGCCUUGACAUGCACGUAGUAGAAGCGUGAAAGCGUAACGAACCCGCAAGGGUAGCGUGCACAGGUGCUGCAUGGCUGUCGUCAGCUCGUGUCGUGAGAUGUUGGGUUAAGUCCCGCAACGAGCGCAACCCUUGUGUCCUGUUGCCACUCAAACGAGAGUUUGAAGCACUCUGGACAGACUGCCUCGCUUAAACGAGGAGGAAGGUGGGGAUGACGUCAAGUCAGGAUGGCCCUUACGGCCAGGGCUGCACACGUACUACAAUGCCCGGUACAAAGGGACGCAAGACCGCAAGGUGGAGCAAAUCCCAUAAAGCCGGGCUCAGUUCAGAUUGUCGGCUGCAACUCGCCGACAUGAAGCUGGAAUCGCUAGUAAUGGCGCAUCAGCUACGGCGCCGUGAAUACGUUCCCGGGCCUUGUACACACCGCACUACUA